CCGGGCGGUCCGCCCUCAUGGACGCACCGCCCGGGCAAAGCUGCAGCCGCCUGAGGUUCUCUGCUGCCUAGUCCGCCUUACAGGUAGCGCCGGCCCUGGCUUCAGGUCAUUGUCCAUCUGCACUGUGAAGCACUGUGCAAUGAGUUCUGAAGCAUUUGGCUGAAUAUGAGCAGAUAAUAUUGCUCGAAACACUUCAGAAUUCAUCCUGCUGCUUUUGUCAGCAGUCACAUCAUCAAUAAAUACAAGAGAACCAGUUCCAUUGGCAGCUAUACAUGCCCACACCAUGACACUACCACCACCAUGCUUCACUGAUGAGGCAAUAUGCUUUGGAUCAUGACCAGUUCCUUUCCUUCUCCAUACUCUUCUCUUCCCAUCACUCUAGUACAAGUUGAUCUUGGUCUCAUCUAUCCAUAGGAUGUUGUUCCAGAACUGUGAAGGCUUUUUUAGAUGUUGUUUGGCAAACUUUAAUCUGGCCUUCCUGUUUUUGAGGCUCACCAAUGGUUUACAUCUUGUGGUGAACCCUCUGUAUUCACUCUGGUGAAGUCUUCUCUUGAUUGUUGACUUUGACACACAUACACCUACCUCCUGGAGAGUGUUCUUGAUCUGGCCAACUGUUGUGAAGGGUGUUUUCUUCACCAGGGAAAGAAUUCUUCGGUCAUCCACCACAGUUGUUUUCCGUGGUCUUCCAGGUCUUUUGGUGUUGCUGAGCUCACCGGUGCGUUCUUUCUUUUUAAGGAUGUUCCAAACAGUUGAUUUGGCCACACCUAAUGUUUUUGCUAUCUCUCUGAUGGGUUUGUUUUUUUUCUUUUAGCCUAAUGAUGGCUUGCUUCACUGAUAGUGACAUCUCUUUGGAUCUCAUAUUGAGAGUUGACAGCAACAGAUUCCAAAUGCAAAUAGCAC